GUCUACGGCCAUACCACCCUGAACGCGCCCGAUCUCGUCUGAUCUCGGAAGCUAAGCAGGGUUGGGCCUGGUUAGUACUUGGAAGGGAGACAAUAGGACUUGGCCACUGCUGCUGGCC
rfam:Canis lupus familiaris chromosome 11, whole genome shotgun sequence.